CAUAUCAAUAAGCGGAGGAAAAGAAACCAACAGGGAUUGUCUUAGUAACGGCGAGUGAAGCGACAAAAGCUCAAAUUUGAAAUCUGGCGCCUUUGGUGCCCGAGUUGUAAUUUGAAGAAGGUAACUUUGGGGGCAGCUCUUGUCUAUGUUUCUUGGAACAGAACGUCACAGAGGGUGAGAAUCCCGUGCGAUGAGAGAGAUGUUUCCGUGUAAAGUGCUUUCGAAGAGUCGAGUUGUUUGGGAAUGCAGCUCUAAGUGGGUGGUAAAUUCCAUCUAAAGCUAAAUAUUGGCGAGAGACCGAUAGCGAACAAGUACAGUGAUGGAAAGAUGAAAAGAACUUUGAAAAGAGAGUGAAAAAGUACGUGAAAUUGUUGAAAGGGAAGGGCUUGAGAUCAGACUUUGUAUUUUGCGACCUUUUCUUCGGAGGGGGCCCCCGCAGUUUACAGGGCCAGCAUCAGUUUGGGUGGUGGGAGAAUGGCGGCGGAAUGUAGCUUGGCUCGCCAAGUGUUAUAGACGCUGCUGAUACCGCUUGCCCAGACUGAGGACUGCGUCUUUUUGACUAGGAUGCUGGCAUAAUGAUCCCCAGCCGC
rnacentral:rRNA from 1 species